GAGGCGUUACCUGGUUGUGGCGGGUGACGCCACGGGCGGGGCGGAGCGUCUUGGGUCAGCUGGGAGCCUCCGUCCCCGACAGUUUUGCAGAACACUGAUAUCUAUGGACUCUAAAAUGGACUUCAUUUAAAGAAACCACGGACCAUUAACGGACAAAAACAUGAGUCAAUAUGUAUUGUGGCAUUCAAAUCCUAGCACUUUGGGAGAGCAUCAAGUACCACGUUUUUGAAGACCAUGGCCCAUCAUCAUUAUGCAUUCAAGAUUUGAGUCUGAAUAGCCUCAUCAAGACUUAGAUCUUCUUCAGAAGCUUCAAGUCUCAUCUGCAUUAAAGCUCCCCAUUGAACCCUCUCACAAAAGUACAAGCUUAAAGGGACUAAAAUCCAUUAAUACAUUCCAUUUUAUAUCCCUUCCUCUGACUUCUCUUCAAUUUCCUUGGCCUCUAGGGUCUUUCAUAUUGCUUAUGUUCCUUUAGACUAGAGGCAAGGAGAGAGUGCUUUCCAAAAAAAUAUGUGUUCUGUGGCCAUAACUUUUCAUUGGUAGCGAAGUAUAAAUUUCGCAUGGUGAAUUUAGAAUUAGGUCUUUUAUGGCAUCCUAUAAAAAGUUGAAUUAAUAGGCCAGGCACAGUAUCUCAUGCCUGUAAUCCCAGCAUUUUGGGAGGCGAAGGCAGGCAACACCUGAGGUCAGGUGUUUGAGACUAGCUUGGCCAACGUAGAGAAACCCCAUUUCUACUAAAAAUACAAAAAUUAGCCAGGCGUGGUGAUGCACGCCUGUAAUCCCAGCUGCUUGGGAGGCUGAGGCAGGAGAAUCAAUUGAACUUGGAAGGUGGAGGUUACAGUGAGCCGAGAUCAUGCCUCUGCACUCCAGCCUGAAUGACAGAGCAAGACUCCGUCUCAAAAAAAGAAAAAAAAAAAAAGUUGAAUUAACAAUAAGAAAAUGUGGAUGAAGUGGUAAAAAUAUUUUGGGUUAGAUUAUACUCUCAGAAACUGCGUUAGAGAAAAGGGCCCCCAACCUAAAAGUUAAUAGUUCUUAUUCUGUCUGCCUUGUACUAGGUACAUGGUAACUGAGAAAGUUACUUAACCUCUCUAAACCUUGAUUUCAUUAUCUAUAAAGUGAAAUCUGACAUUUUCCCCGCCUACCUCACAGGGUUGUUGUGAGGAUCAAAUGAAAUAAUGUACAGAAAAAGGCAAAUAUGAAAUGUAUAAUAAAGACAUAGGGUCCUGUUACAUAGUUGCAAGUCAUUUCCUCAGAUCUUCGGUGUAGGAAAGCAGGAGAUUUAAACUCACUGAAAGCAUGUGCCAUGUCCAGGCUGGCUACGUGGUAACAAGGCUAUGUUAAAUUUUUUUUCUCUGAGUUGAGUCCCUAAGGUACUAUCAUGGGCUAAUUCUAAGAAGGAGCAUGACUAUAUAUUCCCCUAAAAUAAUAGUUUAGCAUUGUUAAUGCUCUAGAGCAGUUAUGGGAGUUACGGGUUAUAACAUAUUAGUGAUUUAUGAAAUGUUUUUAAUAAAAUGUGAUCAGCAUUUUUUUUAAUGAAAGAACAUAGCAUUCCACAUGGUAAGAGUAAAAAAAUGUUUUAGUCAUAGGUACAAA